rnacentral:rRNA from 1 species
UACGUAGGGGGCAAGCGUUGUCCGGAUUUAUUGGGCGUAAAGAGCGUGUAGGCGGCCAGAUAGGUCCGUUGUGAAAACUGGAGGCUUAACCUCCAGCGGUCGAUGGAAACCGUCUGGCUAGAGUCCGGAAGAGGAGUGUGGAAUUCCUGGUGUAGCGGUGAAAUGCGCAGAUAUCAGGAAGAACACCUAUGGCGAAGGCAGCACUCUGGGACGGUACUGACGCUGAGACGCGAAAAGCGUGGGGAGCGAACAGG